UACGUAUGGGGCAAGCGUUGUCCGGAUUUAUUGGGCGUAAAGCGCGUGUAGGUGGCCAAGUAGGUCCGCUGUGAAAACUUGAGGCUCAACCUCAAGCUGUCGGUGGAAACCACUUGGCUAGAGUCCGGAAGAGGAGAGUGGAAUUCCUGGUGUAGCGGUGAAAUGCGCAGAUAUCAGGAAGAACACCAAUGGCGAAGGCAGCUCUCUGGGACGGUACUGACACUGAGACGCGAAAGCGUGGGGAGCGAACAGG
rnacentral:rRNA from 1 species